UUGGUCUUUAUUGUUAACUUAAGUAAUCAAUCAUUUAGUUUAUUAGUUUGCUUAAACUGUCAUUUAAAAUAUUAUAAGUUCCAGUGAUGGUGUGCAAUUGGGGAUGGGGGGGAUUGAUUAUUCCUUGUUGCUAUUGAUGGUUAAAUUCUCAAUUUCUUCUUUGUGAGAAGAAAAUCCCAGAAAGCGCUAGCUGGCCUGAGGCGUAUCAAGUUGGAAGGUUUAAGGUGGAGAGUAUUUGACGCCAAAGGUCAGGUUGGAGACAUUCCUUUUUUCAUCAUAUUCUCUUUUGAUAGUUUUUUGAGUUAGAAGAUCCCUUUUGUAUUGCAAAGAUGAGACCAUUGUUUUAAGAAACUCUGUCCUGGAACUAAAGCUUCUGGGGCCAGAACUCUGUUGCCCCUUUAACCUUCAAACAUCUGAAAGUUGGGUUUUAUGGUUUGCUCAAGAUACUAGCUUCUUAAUGCAAAGUUUGUUUUUAUGCUUUUAAUUGUAUUGAGCUUGAACUUUUGAUGUAAUAACACUGUUUUCCCAUGCUUUUGAGGGUCUUUCAGUCUGCAAAAAAAAAGAAUGAAAAAGUUGUUUCUAUUCAUAGGUUCUUGGAAGACUAGCAUCUCAAAUUUCUACUGUGAUUCAAGGCAAGGACAAGCCAACAUAUGCUCCGAAUCGUGAUGAUGGUGAUAUGUGAUUUGUUAUUAAUGCCAAGGAUGUAUGCGUUGCAGGAAGAAAACUUACAAAUAAGUUUUAUCACUGGCAUACAGGGUUAACACUACCAUUUUUAGCUUUUACUUUUUAUGGUCUGAAGUUGUUUGUCUAUUGGAAAAGUUCUGUUUUCCUAUCAGUUGAGAGCUUAGAGUUUUUUGUUAAAUUUUAGUCAAGUGAGUCUCCAUUGCAACUCUACUUCUGUUGAAUGCUUGGUCCUUCAUUAAAACUUGAACCCAGAGUGGGGGCAAUGGAGGCAAUUGCCCCCUGAGAUCCUAAUGUCCCUUUGUUUAUAUUUUGGAGAUAGCUAAAAAUUUUAGUUCAUUUAUAUUACGGAAUAUAAUAUAAAAUCUUGGAUAGUUCCUGCCUGAACAUAAAUUAUCCAAUGUCCCUUUCCCCCCACUAAACAUAAAUCUUGGAUAGUUCCUGCUUGAACCAAUGUCCAUUUAGAUGUUAAGAGAACUUAUGCUUAUAUUAGGUGUUACAGAAAUCAAAAUAGGCCCUCUUUUUCAUAUUUGGUCAAUAGAGGAAGGAACUAACUUGAUUUUGUUAUCAUGUGCAUUCCUAAUUUCCCUACUCAUAAUUCUUAAAUGGUUUGUUCUUGAUACCGAACCACUGUAACUGUUUAUUUAUGCUUCUUUCUAAUGGUGAAUCUUACUGAUUUAGAUACGUGGGCAACCUCAAAGAAAGAAGUUUAAAAGAUCAGAUGGCUAAGGACUCGACAGAAGUUAUUCGCAAAGCAGUCCUGCGCAUGCUUCCAAGGAACAAAUUGUGUGAUGAUAGGGAUUGAAAAUUGUGGAUAUUGGCUGGUAGUGAGCACCCCUUUGGUGAUCGGCCACUUGAGCCAUUUGUGAUGCCUCCCCAAAAAGUACGAGAAAUGAGGGCCCUGCAAGAAGAGCCUUGAUUCGAGCUCAUAAGAAGGCUGAAGAGCAAGAACAGGGUGCUGAGUACUCAUGAAAAAGUGCCAACAGCUCAGGACAAUGUCACAAGAAGACUAUCCAACUACUAAGUGAAGACCUAGAGACUGCUGUGCUUCUGCUGUGAGUGAUACUGAGUGACAUGUUGAGACGAUAGCAGCAGUAGAAGA